AGCGAACGCUGGCGGCAGGCCUAACACAUGCAAGUCGAACGAACCUUUCGGGGUUAGUGGCGGACGGGUGUGUAACACGUGGGAACGUGCCUUUAGGUUCGGAAUACCUCAGGGAAACUUGUGCUAAUACCGAAUGUGCCCUUCGGGGGAAAGAUUUAUCGCCUUUAGAGCGGCCCGCGUCGGAUUAGCUAGUUGGUUGAGGUAUUGGCUCACCAAGGCGACGAUCAGUAGCUGGUCUGAGAGGAUGAUCAGCCACAUGGGGACUGAGACACGGCCCAAACUCCUACGGGAGGCAGCAGUGGGGAAUCUUGCGCAAUGGGCGAAAGCCUGACGCAGCCAUGCCGCGUGAAUGAUGAAGGUCUUAGGAUUGUAAAAUUCUUUCACCGGGGACGAUAAUGACGGUACCCGGAGAAGAAGCCCCGGCUAACUUCGUG
rnacentral:rRNA from 1 species